rnacentral:rRNA from 1 species
UACGAAAGGUGCAAGCGUUGUUCGGAAUCACUGGGCGUAAAGCGCACGUAGGCGGGUUCGUGUGUCGAUUGUGAAAGCCCCAGGCUCAACCUGGGAAUUGCAGUCGAAACUGCGAAUCUUGAAUACCUGAGAGGGUGGGGGAAUUCCUGGUGGAGAAGUGAAAUUCGUAGAUAUCAGGAGGAACAUCAGAGGCGAAGGCGCCUACCUGGCAGGCUAUUGACGCUGAGGUGCGAAAGUGCGGGGAGCAAACAGG